rnacentral:rRNA from 1 species
UACGAAGGGGGCUAGCGUUGUUCGGAAUUACUGGGCGUAAAGGGCGCGUAGGCGGUGUGUCAAGUCAGGCGUGAAAGCCCCGGGCUCAACCUGGGAACCGCGCUUGAGACUGGCACGCUCGAGUUCGGGAGAGGAUGGUGGAAUUCCCAGUGUAGAGGUGAAAAUUCGUAGAUAUUGGGAAGAACACCGAUGGCGAAGGCAGCCAUCUGGACCGACACUGACGCUGAGGCGCGAAAGCGUGGGGAGCAAACAGG